rnacentral:rRNA from 1 species
AUCAGGGAGGGAACACCCGAUGGGAGAAGGGCAGGGUCUCUGCGCAUUAAACUGACGCUGAGGAGCGAAAAGCAUGGGGGAGCGAACAGGAUUAGAUACCCUGGUAGUCCCAUGCCGUAAACGUUGGGCACUAGGUGUGGGGGACAUCCCACGUUUUCCGCGCCGUAGCUAACGCAUUAAGUGCCCCGCCUGGGGAGUACGGCCGCAAGGCUAAAACUCAAAGGAAUUGACGGGGGCCCGCACAAGCGGCGGAGCAUGCGGAUUAAUUCGAUGCAACGCGAAGAACCUUACCAAGGCUUGACAUGAACCGGAAAUACCUGGAAACAGGUGCCCCGCUUGCGGUCGGUUUACAGGUGGUGCAUGGUUGUCGUCAGCUCGUGUCGUGAGAUGUUGGGUUAAGUCCCGCAACGAGCGCAACCCUCGUUCUAUGUUGCCAGCGCGUGAUGGCGGGGACUCAUAGGAGACUGCCGGGGUCAACUCGGAGGAAGGUGGGGACGACGUCAAAUCAUCAUGCCCCUUAUGUCUUGGGCUUCACGCAUGCUACAAUGGCCGGUACAAAGGGUUGCGAUACUGUGAGGUGGAGCUAAUCCCAAAAAGCCGGUCUCAGUUCGGAUUGGGGUCUGCAACUCGACCCCAUGAAGUCGGAGUCGCUAGUAAUCGCAGAUCAGCAACGCUGCGGUGAAUACGUUCCCGGGCCUUGUACACACCGCCCGUCAAGUCACGAAAGUUGGUAACACCCGAAGCCGGUGGCCUAACCCCUUGUGGGAGGGAGCUGUCGAAGGUGGGACUGGCGAUUGGGAG